AACUUUCGACAAUGGAUCUCUUGGCUCUCGCAUCGAUGAAGAACGCAACGAAAUGCGAUACGUAAUGUGAAUUGCAGAAUUCAGUGAAUCAUCGAAUCUUUGAACGCAUAUUGCGCUCUUUGGUAUUCCGAAGAGCAUGCUUGUUUGAGUAUCAGUAAACACCUCACAUCCGUCAAUUUGUUUUGAAGGCUUUGGACUUGAGCAAUUCCAACACCAGUCUUUACGAUCGGUGGAGGGUUGCUUGAAAUGCAGGUGCAGCUGGACAUUCUCCUGAGCUAUAAGAAUAUUUAUUUAGUCCCGUCAAACGGAUUAUUACUUUUGCUGCAGCUAACAUAAAGGGAGUCUGACCAUAUUGGCUGACUGAUGCAGGAUUUCACAAGGGUCGGCAACGAUUCUUGUAAAACUCGAUCUCAAAUCAAGUAAGACUACCCGCUGAACUUAAGCAUAUCAAUAAGCGGAGGCU
rnacentral:misc_RNA from 1 species